UGAGAGUCUUCUAACUGAGGCAAAUUUGCUUAAGAUCGCCAGAGACAGCCCUUUUCUCUGCCAAGGCUAUGCUGCUUUUCAAACCCAGCGGCAUGCCUUCUUUGUCAUGGAGUUUCUGAGCGGGGGCAGCCUAGAGGAUGAGCUGAAGGAUCACGGGACACUGCCCAUAGAGAGAGUACGGUUCCAUUCAGCAGAGAUUAUAUGCGGCCUGCAAUUUCUACAUGGCAAAGGCAUUAUCCAUCGAGACAUCAAGCCCAUGAACAUCCUACUAGACCAUCAAGGACAUACCAAAAUUUCAGAUUUCGGCCUGGCAGAGGAGAACAUCUUCCCAG